AUUGAACGCUGGCGGCAGGCCUACCACAUGCAAGUCGAGCGAGCGGCGGACGGGUGAGUAAUGUCUGGGAAACUGCCUGAUGGAGGGGGAUAACUACUGGAAACGGUAGCUAAUACCGCAUACCAUCAGAUGUGCCCAGAUGGGCUUAGCGAGUAGGUGGGGUAAAGGGUCACCUAGGCGACGAUCCCUAGCUGGUCUGAGAGGAUGACCAGCCACACUGGAACUGAGACACGGUCCAGACUCAUACGGGAGGCAGCAGUGGGGAAUAUUGCACAAUGGGCGCAAGCCUGAUGCAGCCAUGCCGCGUGUGUGAAGAAGGCCUGCGGGUUGUAAAGCACUUUCAGCGGGGAGGCGUUACCCGCAGAAGAAGCACCGGCUAACUCCGUGCCAGCAGCCGCGGUAAUUC
rnacentral:rRNA from 1 species